AUGAACGCUGGCGGCGUGCCUAAUACAUGCAAGUCGCGCGAACAGAUAAGGAGCUUGCUCCUUUGACGUUAGCGGCGGACGGGUGAGUAACACGUGGGUAACCUACCUAUAAGACUGGGAUAACUUCGGGAAACCGGAGCUAAUACCGGAUAACAUUUGGAACCGCAUGGUUCUAAAGUGAAAGAUGGUUUUGCUAUCACUUAUAGAUGGACCCGCGCCGUAUUAGCUAGUUGGUAAGGUAACGGCUUACCAAGGCGACGAUACGUAGCCGACCUGAGAGGGUGAUCGGCCACACUGGAACUGAGACACGGUCCAGACUCCUACGGGAGGCAGCAGUAGGGAAUCUUCCGCAAUAGGCGAAAGCCUGACGGAGCAACGCCGCGUGAGUGAUGAAGGGUUUCGGCUCGUAAAACUCUGUUAUUAGGGAAGAACAAAUGUGUAAGUAACUGUGCACGUCUUGACGGUACCUAAUCAGAAAGCCACGGCUAACUACGUG
rnacentral:rRNA from 1 species